GACGUAGGUGGCGAACGUUAUCCGGAAUUAUUGGGCGUAAAGGGUGCGUAGGCGGCAUGAUAAGUUAUUGGCGGGAAAUCGAGGCUCAACCCCGUGGAAACUAAUAAUACUGUUUUGCUUGAGUACAGGAGAGGUUAACGGAACUCCAUGUGGAGCGGUAAAAUGUGUAGAUAUAUGGAAGAACAUCAAUAACGGCGAAGGCAGUUAACUAUUCUGUUACUGACGUUGAGGCACGAAAGCGUGGGGAGCAAAACGG
rnacentral:rRNA from 1 species